rnacentral:tRNA from 1 species
UCCCUGGUGGUUCAGUCAGUAAAUAAUCUGCUUGCAAUGCAGGAGACCCGGGUUUGAUCCCUGGGCCAGGGAA